GUGCCAGCAGCCGCGGUAAUACGAGGGGGGCAAAUGUUGUUCGGAAUCACUGGGCGUAAAGGGAGCGUAGGCGGGUUUCUAAGUCAGGUGUUUAAUCCCGGGGCCCAACCCCGGACAGGCACUUGAAACUGGGAAUCUUGAAUAGUGGAGAGGUCAGUGGAAUUGGGGGUGUAGCGGUGGAAUGCGUAGAGAUCCCCAAGAACACCAGUUGCGAAGGCGGCUGACUGGACACAUAUUGACGCUGAGGCUCGAAAGCAUGGGGAGCAAACAGGAUUAGAUACCCUGGUAGUCC
rnacentral:rRNA from 1 species